rnacentral:tRNA from 1 species
GAGAGAUGGCAGAGUGGUCGAAUGCGGCGGUCUUGAAAACCGUUGACGGUCAAACGUCCGGGGGUUCGAAUCCCUCUCUCUCC